UAUUUUAUUUUAUUUAUUAGUACAUUAUUUUUUUAUAAUCAUACUAACUUUAAUAAAUAGUUCUAACACUUAAGAAAUCGCUUUAAGUAUAUCAGGUAAAAAUACUGAAUUUGUACAUUCAGGAACACGAUAAGAUAUUGUAAAGACUUAAAUGAAUCAUCAUUAGCUAAAAACGUAAAGUUAUUUCCAGUUUGAUUUUCGACAGAAUCACCAUCCUCAUUUGAGUGUCUUCUUUCUAAAUUAGUCCGUCAAUCGUCUCUUACCAUAUAUCAAACUAGGCCUCGUUCAUCCUUAGAAUAUUUCGGUAGGCUGCAGUUUUCCUUUUUUUAAUUCUUUUAAUAAUGUACUGGAUGCACCUUAUUUUUUUCGCCUUGAAAUCCAACUUCUGAUCCAUAAUCUUUUCUUUUCCAACACCUGUCGCAAUAAAUGAGAAAUCAUAACAACUCCGCGCGAACUACAGCUUCCGACAUUUUGACCAGUCACUACUCGUUGGCACACUAGCGAUUUUGCCAACUAGGGUGAUUACAUUGAGCGAUUUUACUCAAUGAAGUAUAAAAACGCCAGCGACUAGUGUAAAGAAGCCCAGCCAUCAACUUUAUUCGCGGGUGAGCAGCGAGUAUUCAACACACUGUGAGUAAGUGACUAGACCGAUUACAAUGAGUGAAUUUAGUAGCAGCGAGUUAAUUCACCAGCGACUAGCAUGUAAAAUCACUCAGUGUAAUCGAGGCAUAAUCAAGGUAAGUAAAAUAUUGCAUACAAUAGAAACGAUAAGGAUGUGCUUAAACUUUUAGAUUCUGAGUGGAACGAAGAAGCUUAUGGCUUUAUAAAGAUGUUUAUUUUGUUUUGUUUUUUAAUCUGUGUGCUACUUUUCUACCAGAAAUUUCGCUCUGAAUUUUAAGUGUAGUACAUUUUCUGAAAGGAAAUCGGUGUGGGGAGGUACUUUUUUGAAAAGUAAUUUUUUGAUUCUCAAGAGUUUUCUCAUAAAAUGUGAAAAACCAAAAAAAAAAACGGAAAAUAUAAGAAAUUUAGGUAUUAUAUAUAAUAAUAUAUUACGGCUUUUUUUCUUUCCUAUGAACAACUUAACUUCCAUUAAUUUUGCCCAAAUUUAUUAUGAUAACAUUUUUUCUAAAAGUAAAUCUGAUUGGGGAGGUACUUUAGAGAGAUCAUUUUUCGAUUUUUCCCAAGAGUUUACUCAACAAAUGGGAAACUGGGAAAAUCAGUACAACAUUAAAAAAAUAUAUGAAGCCUAUUUAAUUAUUUUACUAUAAUGACAUAUAUAUUGUUGACAAAGCAACACUAUCAAUUGAACUCAGCUCAGAAUUGUUUUUUUUUUUUUUUGUAAGCAAUGGUUUACCGUUGCUUACAGGUACACAUUAUAUUAACUAUAACAGUGGUUGCACCAGUUCCCAUUAAUAUAGGACGUCAUUUUAUUAUUCUAGUAAUUUAAAAAAAAUUAAUUUAUGAAAUAAUUGAUGUUCAUAAUUUCCUGAUAAUACUUGAUAAUACCUGAUAAUUCUUCUCUCUGUAUAAAUUAUGCAUACCAUAUAGUAUUGUGGUAAGUUAAAUUAACAGUAUUGUCAAAAAUUGUACUGCAUUGAGCACAUGAUUUUAUUUUCUUGCCGUAAACGGAAUGUAACUGGUAUUUUAAAGUUAUGGUGACUUGCUUGCACUUUAUUCUAAAAAAGUCAUGAAAUUAUUUACAGAAUUAUAAAUAAAAGUUGGAAUGAUUAUAUAAGUACAUUUUUACAUACCCUAUAUAUUGUUUCAGCUUGGAGUCUCUGUUGUGGUAUUGUACCUAAUUCAAUUUUAUUAAAAACCAAUAUUGAUAUAAAAUAUGUAUUGUUUGUAAUUUUGGAUCAUCUAUCAACCAUCCAAUAUUGAGUUGUUUAAAUGUGAAUAACAUACAUACACCCCAAACAAAAUCAUUAAAGGUAAUGUUCUAUUU
rnacentral:lncRNA from 1 species